GCAGACUGAGCUCUGUGAUCACUAUGCAAAAAGCAUCAUGAACAUGAAAAAGAGCCAGAGAGGAGGCAGAUGCAAAGAGCAAUUGGAGUGCUCUGACCAUUUAUAAUGAUGAUGUAUCUGUAUUUCUAAUAAUGUGGAGAGAGACUCAUGCCAUGUUAAGAACAUGGAAAGACUGCAGAUGCUCAAACAGGUGAGGAGAUGAGGCUUGUAGGACGCAGCAGAGCUGGGACAAGGAGCAAAAGACUUUUGCUUGUGUCUCUAAAAGACUCACCAGCCACAUGAAGGAAAUGAGGGAGUGAAUGCGGAUCAAAUCUUCAGGCUACCUCCAUC
rnacentral:lncRNA from 1 species